rnacentral:rRNA from 1 species
UAGGGAAUCUUCGGCAAUGGGGGGAACCCUGACCGAGCAACGCCGCGCGAGUGAAGAAGGUUUUCGGAUCGUAAAGCUCUGUUGUUAAGGAAGAACGAGUGUGAGAAUGGAAAGUUCAUGCUGUGACGGUACUUAACCAGAAAGGGACGGCUAACUACGUGCCAGCAGCCGCGGUAAUACGUAGGUCCCGAGCGUUGUCCGGAUUUAUUGGGCGUAAAGCGAGCGCAGGCGGUUAGAAAAGUCUGAAGUGAAAGGCAGUGGCUCAACCAUUGUAGGCUUUGGAAACUGUUUAACUUGAGUGCAGAAGGGGAGAGUGGAAUUCCGUGUGUAGCGGUGAAGUGCGUAGAUAUAUGGAGGAACACCGGUGGCGAAAGCGGCUCUCUGGUCUGUAACUGACGCUGAGGCUUGAAAGCGUGGGGAGCGAACAGG